GACGAAGGACCCAAGCGUUAUCCGGAUUCAUUGGGUUUAAAGGGUGCGUAGGCGGGUUGAUAAGUCAGUGGGGAAAGCCCAACGCUUAACGUUGGAACUGCCAUUGAUACUGUCGAUCUUGAAUGUGUUUGAUGUGGGCGGAAUAUGACAUGUAGCGGUGAAAUGCUUAGAUAUGUCAUAGAACACCGAUUGCGAAGGCAGCUCACAAAGCCACUAUUGACGCUGAGGCACGAAAGCGUGGGGAUCAAACAGG
rnacentral:rRNA from 1 species